CAGAGGAUGUUUCUGGCGCGGUGCCUUCCGAGUUCCCUGGAACGGGACGCCAUAGAGGGUGAGAGCCCCGUAUGGUUGGAUACUAAGCCUGUGUGAAACUCCUUCGACGAGUCGAGUAGUUUGGGAAUGCUGCUCAAAAUGGGAGGUAAAUCUCUUCUAAAGCUAAAUAUUGGCCAGAGACCGAUAGCGCACAAGUAGAGUGAUCGAAAGAUGAAAAGCACCUUGAAAAGGGGGUUAAACAGUACGUGAAAUUGUUGAAAGGGAAGCGCUCAUGACCAGACUUGUGCUGGGCAGCUCAUCCGGGGUUCUCCCCGGUGCACUCUGCCCAGUUCAGGCCAGCAUCGAUUUUUGCUGGGGGAUAAGAACGGUAGGAACGUGGCCCUCCUUCGGGUGGGUGUUAUAGCCUGCCGUACGAUACCCUGGCGGAGAUCGAGGUUCGCGCAUCUGCAAGGAUGCUGGCGUAAUGGUCAUCAGCGACCCGUCUUGAAACACGGACCAAGGAGUCGUCCAUUAGAGCGAGCGUUUGGGUGUAAAACCCGCACGCGUAAUGAAAGUGAAAUUAGGUGAGAGCUUCGGCGCAUCAUCGACCGAUCCUGAUGUUCUCGGAAGGAUUUGAGUAAGAGUUUUAACGGACGGACCCGAAAGACAGUGAACUAUGCUUGUAUAGGGUGAAGCCAGAGGAAACUCUGGUGGAGGCUCGCAGCGGUUCUGACGUGCAAAUCGAUCGUCAAAUAUGAGCAUGGGGGCGAAAGAC
rnacentral:rRNA from 1 species